rnacentral:tRNA from 1 species
CAUUAAGUGGCUGAAACUUAAGCAUUGGUCUCUUAAACCAAAAUAUAGUAAUUAAUAACUACUCUUAAUGG